CAGUUCCCCCAGGAAGGCUGUAGUGAAACUAGAUGUAGAUCAAAGUUGCAGCCAGCAGAGGCACAGGAUGGCUUUGUAAUGAAUGCCCAAUACUCUCUAAAGGAUUGUCUUCGUGAAAGCAAGGGCUCUGGUUGCCUUUACUUCUGAAUGAAAGGAGAAUCAUGCACAUGGCCGCUAUUUGAGGGUCUGCUCUCCAAAAGUCCUGCAAAUAAUAGGGUGACAUCUGCUCUGCUCUUCUGGGUUUGGGAACUAGAGAGUGGCUGUGGACUGGAAAGAACCAGGUCUGGAUGCUUCAUGGCCAGAAAUAAUGCAUUCAGGAGAAACCAACCUCAUUGUGAAAUGCUGUAGUUAGAAGUCCUCUGCUAGUCAUCUAGAGCAAUUUAAGUCCUCAGUAAUCCAUCGCUACACAGAACCUCUAGCCUCCUGUGUUAUAACUACCGUCAUCAAGGGCUCACCUCCCCCUUCAUGAGUGCCUCUGACUGAAGAUCCUACAUUUUAUCUGCAAAUCUAGCUUGAAAAAACUGUUCUAGGGAUCAAGUUCAGAACCUUGCACAUGCUAAGAGAAGAUCCUACAA
rnacentral:lncRNA from 1 species